rnacentral:rRNA from 1 species
GACAGAGGGUGCGAACGUUGCUCGGAAUCACUGGGCGUAAAGCGCGUGUAGGCGGACUUGCAAGUCAGGUGUGAAAUCCCUGAGCUCAACUCAGGAACUGCACUUGAAACUACUCGUCUUGAGUGUCGGAGAGGGAAGUGGAAUUCCUGGUGUAGAGGUGAAAUUCGUAGAUAUCAGGAGGAACACCUGUGGCGAAGGCGGCUUCCUGGACGACAACUGACGCUGAGACGCGAAAGCGUGGGGAGCAAACAGG